rnacentral:tRNA from 1 species
GCUUCAGUAGUUCAGUUGGUAGAACAUCUGUUUUGUACUCAGAAUGUCACGGGUUCGAUUCCUGUCUGAAGCUUA